rnacentral:tRNA from 1 species
GCCUCCCGGCGAGGGACGCCGGACUUUGAAUCCGGAGGUCGCCGGUUCGAUUUCGGCCGGGGCA